rnacentral:rRNA from 1 species
GGCCAGCAGCCGCGGUAAUACGUAGGGACCAAGCGUUGUUCGGAUUUACUGGGCGUAAAGGGCGCGUAGGCGGCAAUUCAAGUCAGCUGUGAAAUCUCCGGGCUUAACUCGGAACGGUCAGCUGAUACUGUUUUGCUAGAGUGCAGAAGGGGCAAUCGGAAUUCUCGGUGUAGCGGUGAAAUGCGUAGAUAUCGAGAGGAACACCUGAGGUGAAGACGGGUUGCUGGGCUGACACUGACGCUGAUGCGCGAAAGCCAGGGUAGCAAACGGGAUUAGAUACCCCGGUAGUCCUGGCCCUAAACGAUGAAUACUUGGUGUCUGGAGUCAUUAUUGCUCCGGGUGCCGUCGCUAACGUUUUAAGUAUUCCGCCUGGGGAGUACGCACGCAAGUGUGAAACUUAAAGGAAUUGGCGGGGGA